rnacentral:rRNA from 1 species
UACGUAGGGUGCGAGCGUUGUCCGGAUUUAUUGGGCGUAAAGAGCGUGUAGGCGGCUUGGUAGGUCCGCUGUGAAAACUCGAGGCUCAACCUCGAGAUGUCGGCGGAAACCACUUGGCUAGAGUCCGGAAGAGGAGAGUGGAAUUCCUGGUGUAGCGGUGAAAUGCGCAGAUAUCAGGAAGAACACCAACGGCGAAGGCAGCUCGCUGGGACGGUACUGACGCUGAGACGCGAAAGCGUGGGGGAGCGAACAGG